CACCAUCAAGACCAGGCUUGCUGUGUGGGGGCUGGCACUGCCCACAGAGCUCAGGGCAGUUUUCCAUGCCACUGGGGAAACUGAGGCACAGGGAGCCCCACAGCUAGUGUGCUGGAUUUGGAUCCACGCUUGCUAACUAAGAGCACCGUCUCCUCCUAGCUGUCAUAGUACUAGGGAAACAAUUCCCCUGACCACCCGGAAUCAACAGGCAGCCAGAGGGGGCGAGGCCACUGCAGGGCCUCAGCGUCACACUUGUGCCAACCCCAAGAUGAAGCCACGGCUCUGUGGCACAGAGGGGUAGGAGGGCUGUGCUCUAAUCAUCCUGUGCAUCUGGGCAGCUGGAUACUGGACCAGCUGAUGCCCAGCCAUGCCACCUGGCGCCAAGCUCUGGAAUGAUGCCACACUGCCACAGGGAGGGCCUCAGGGACACCUGCCCUCCUUCCCCUUGCGGAUGCUGGGAGCUCCUUACCUGCUAGACACUCACGCACCUCUGCCAGGUACAGGGACCACUGGUUCUGCUCACCCCACUUCGAUGAAAACCACGCUGCGGGCCGGAUGAGCAACAGGCCGCCAGUGCUACCGCAUUUCCAGGUCAGGAAGCCAAGCUCAGGAAGGUGCCCCCGUGCCAAGACCACUAGAUGCACGCCAUGGCUCAGACCCCAGCCCCGUGCCCCCCACAUUCCCGGCUGCCCUGCCCCAGGACAACAACCACAAAUGCAUGGGGAAGGGGGAGCCAUGCUCCUGCUUCGGCUCCUGAUUACAGGAGGGACCAGAGGUACCAAUUAUAGCCACAGAGAGCAUGAAAUUACGGGUGUGCACCCAGCCAUUAUCCCUACCUGCCACUAGGUAAACACCUGGAGGUCCUGCCAAGUCUCGGGGUGCUCUCCUCCCUUACCCCCCUAGACAAGAGGCCCGCCGUCUCAGAAAUCGUCUUCCAAAGGAUCCCGCCUCCAAGCACCUUCCACUU
ensembl:lincRNA uncharacterized LOC102013201